GCUCGCGUAGCUCAGUUGGAUAGAGCAACUGCCUUCUAAGCAGUGGGUCGUGGGUUCGAUUCCCGCCGUGAGUA
rnacentral:tRNA from 5 species